rnacentral:rRNA from 1 species
UGACUCCUACGGGAGACAGCAGUUAGGAAUAUUCGUCAAUGGGGGGAACCCUGAACGAGCAAUGCCGCGUGAAUGAUGACGGUCCUCUGGAUUGUAAAAUUCUGUUGUUUGGGAAGAACGGUACAUAUAGGAAAUGAUAUGUGCGUGACGGUACCAUUCAAGAAAGCCACGGCUAACUACGUGCCAGCAGCCGCGGUAAUACGUAGGUGGCGAGCGUUAUCCGGAUUUAUUGGGCGUAAAGCGUCCGCAGCCGGUUUAUUAAGUAUAGAAUAGAAGCCCGAGGCUUAACCUCGGUUCGUUCUAUAAACUGAUAGGCUAGAGUGUGGUAGAGGCAAGUGGAAUUUCUAGUGUAGCGGUAGAGUGCGUAGAUAUUAGAAGGAACACCAGUGGCGAAGGCGACUUGCUGGGCCAUGACUGACGGUCAGGGACGAAAGCGUGGGGAGCGAAUAGGAUUAGAUACCCUAGUAGUCCACGCCGUAAACGAUGAUCACUAAGUGUCGGGCAACCGGUGCUGAAGUUAACACAUUAAGUGGUCCGCCUGAGUAGUACGGUCGCAAGGCUGCAACUCAAAUGAAUUGACGGA